rnacentral:rRNA from 1 species
UACGUAGGGUGCAAGCGUUGUCCGGAUUCAUUGGGCGUAAAGCGCGUGUAGGCGGCCCGGUAAGUCCGCUGUGAAAGUCCAGGGCUCAACCCUGGGAUGCCGGUGGAUACUGUCGGGCUCGAGUCCGGAAGAGGCGAGUGGAAUUCCUGGUGUAGCGGUGAAAUGCGCAGAUAUCAGGAGGAACACCAAUGGCGAAGGCAGCUCGCUGGGACGUGACUGACGCUGAGACGCGAAAGCGUGGGGAGCAAACAGG